ensembl:snRNA U6 U6 spliceosomal RNA
GUGUUCGCUUCAACAACACAUAUACUAAAAUUGGAACAACACAGAGAAAAUUAGUGUGGCCCUGUGCAAGGAUGACAUGCAAAUUUGUGAAGCAUUCCAUAUUUUU